CAAAGCCGCGAGGCAGAGNAAACCCCUAAAAAGACCAUCCCAGUUCGGAUUGCAGGCUGCAACCCGCCUGUAUGAAGUUGGAAUCGCUAGUAAUCGCGGAUCAGCAUGCCGCGGUGAAUACGUUCCCGGGCCUUGUACACACCGCCCGUCACACCAUGAGAGUCGGGAACACCCGAAGUCCGUAGCCUAACCGCAAGGAGGGCGCGGCCGAAGGUGGGUUCGAUAAUUGGGGUGAAGUCGUAACAAGGUAUC
rnacentral:rRNA from 1 species